CAACCACUGCUGGUCAUUCAGUUCAGCCCUGGGCUCCUGCUGGGAGGAAGGGCAGGAUAUAAAUCAAGCAAGCAAGCAAUACAUAAAUAAAUAGGCAUAUUCACACCAUUAUUUCCUGCCUUGAAGAUGGUUCAGGAAUUUUUCUGGAGUGCACUGGGGAUCCCAAGGGCCGUUUGAUGGCCCUGGCUUGGUGACAAUAGGCACUUGGUGUGUCGAGCUGGUGAGCUGACCAAAGUUAUAGAUGCCUCUGAGGAAUGACAGCCAGCCUAAAACCGCGGGCAGGGGCAGGAAGAGGAGCUGCUCUAUUUCCUUAAUGGCACUUUUGACUGUUUGACUGCAAUGUGAUCAUCUUGUGCUCUUUCUUCAAACUGAAAGGUUUCAGCAAAAACAAUUAAUCUGGGGACGGUGGGUGAAAAGAUAACCUGGGGAAAGGAACAUUUCACAGGUUACUCCAAAGCCAGGUAGAUGGAGACAUAUUUCUAAUGUUGGCUGGGGCUGACUGCAGUUGGAGUCCAUCUGAAGGACACUGUAUGUUGCUCUAUACCAGAAUUCCUGAGCAAUGCUGGGCACUUUCUGCUCAUGUGAUAUACUUUGAAUUCCUGUGUCUAUAUAAGAAAAUAUAGACCCUCCGUGGCGCAGAGUGGUGCUGACGAUGCUGCCCAAGUGUAACCCCAGCUGCACCUGGCUCAGUGGCCCUCAAGCAACAUCCUCCAGAUAAUGGCAAGAGGCCCUCUCUACACCUUAGCUGCCAUUUGACAAUAACCACUGGCUGAUGUUUUCAGCCCACUCCUUCAUGCACCAGCAAUGACAUUUGUGCCUGCAGCACAAAAUGGGAUGGCAAGAGCAACACCUUGACAACCUGAUUUCUGACUGCAUCAAAUCCAUGUACAGGGAGCAGGGGCACAUGCACAAGACCCACCUCCAAUGUCUCAUGCGUGUUGCUUUGCCUGCUCGGUCCAUGGCUUUCCCUAUGUUGAAGAUCUGGAGAGGGCUUAUAUUUGUAUUUGCUUGAACAAGAGUAUGACCCUCCAUGCAUUUUUUUCUUUAUAUAUUUUGGAAAGUUGUUCAUUCUGCAUUUAGGCACCUCGUAAGAUAUU